ensembl:lncRNA
GGAAUGUUUUACAGCUGGAAACCAGGCUGGUUAUAGCUCUGAACUGACUGAGCUCAUGCAAACAUAGUAUCCUGCCUACCCAGUCAAAAGAUAAGAAAAAUGAUUUUGGAUUUUGUUUAGCUAGUAGAAAGAGCAGCACAGAAAACACAAAUGCCAGGUCUGAUUUCUGAUUAAGUGAAUAGCCGAGAGUAGACCGCCAAAGCCUUCCACUGGCAAAUAAUCUUGACAUAAUCAGAGAUUUGAUUCAAUUCAAUUUAUAUACUGCUAAUUCAAAUAUUGUAUGGUAAAGACCCCAACAGGCAGACAACCCCUAUAAGCAAGCACUUGGCGACAGCAGGAAGGAAAAAAAUCCCUUUUAACAGGAAGGAAGACAGGAAGGAAUGACAAGGGAGGGCAGCCAUCUGCCAUGACUGGUUGGUGGUGAGGGCAAAGAGAAACACCAAGGUCAGAAGAAGCGCACCACUGCCAUCUCUCUGAGCUCUGAAUAUUCUUGAUUAGUUUGUUAAUUGAUUAGCAAUUAGUUUAGUAGUUUAUUGUUUUUGUUUUUUUUAGAGAUCAUCUGCAGAGUCAUUUCAGAUAUGCCAGCAGCUGAACAGUGAUUCAAUAAAUCGUAGGUUAUUAGCAGUUUUUUUUCUUUUUCUUUUUUUCAUCCAAAUUACCCACAUCUCAUUUUCAACUGCCCACACAUAAGAGGCUAGAUCUGGCCCUGGCUGAAAAAGAAAUUACAAUUAUAAUAAGUGUGGGAGACAGGAUCAAAAAGAGCAACAAAAUAGUAAGUCCACAGAGAGGUACUUCAUGUUCCAUGUUUAUACAGUAUAGUAUUGAAUUUUCUAAGGAAGUAUCUAUUUGAAUGACAAUCAAACAAUCAGGAAACUGUGUUUAAGAAAGAACAUUUUGGCUCCCCUGCACCGCCUUCUGCUAAAAUUAACCUCUUCCCACAGUCUGCCAUUCCACCCAAAGAUUACAGCCAUCUGUGUCUCACAUGUUCUGUUCAAAGGCUUGCUUGAGGAGUAUAACAUGUCUGAAACGUCACGGGCAUCCUUAGCUCUUCCUGAGAUUUAGCUUUAAGGGGUCCUGAUAGUUCUCACGUGUCCUAUAAAGCGGCCUGUGGUGCGCGGGUGAACGGUGGCCUGCUGCAUCUGUAAUUUUAAGAUGUUCGGGGAAAGGUGGAUUUGGUCACUUCAUGGUGUUCAGUUCCUCUCUAUUCUAAACAGGGGAGGCGGAAACAAUUAGACAGACAUAUUUUAAAAUAGGAACAAGAUGCCAG